ACUACACAGAAGCCUAAGUACCCAACUGGCUGGAAUUCCAAGGAGGAUCAUCUGUUUAUCUUGGAGGCUUGCUGCUGGCUUCUGCUCCAUCAUCACUAAAGCACUUGAGGAUCUCACAGAUGACUUCAACUACUGAGAUAUUUGGAGGUGGUUCCCAACUUAUGGAAAAGGAAACUUCAUGACCAAAGUGAAAAUAAUCUAAUCAGAGGAGAAAUGCCCCCAUCAAAGGCCAUGCAGCCAGAAUGCUGUCUGACCAGAGACCACCCAUUGCCUUCAGCCAGGGAAAGAUGAGUUACAAGUCUUAAGUGACAGGUUCCAAGAGAAUGCUAUAUUUAAACAUGAAAGUUUCUAGAGCAUAAUAUAUGAAAAGGACUCCAUGAUCUUAGGCAAAG